AUUGAACGCUAGCGGGAUGCUUUACACAUGCAAGUCGAACGAGUGGCGGACGGGUGAGUAAUAGAUCGGAACGUGCCCAGUAGCGGGGGCUAACUACUCGAAAAAGUGGCUAAUACCGCUUACGAUUGGAGCGGCCGAGGUCGGAUUAGCUAGUGGGUGGGGUAAAGGCGCACCAAGGCGACGAUCCGUAGCUGGUUUGAGAGGCCGACCAGCCACACUGGGACUGAGACACGGCCCAGACUCCUACGGGAGGCAGCAGUGGGGAAUUUUGGACAAUGGGGGAAACCCUGAUCCAGCCAUCCCGCGUGUAUGAGAAGGCCUUCGGGUCGUAAAGUACUUUUGGCAGAGAAGCGGUAUCUGCAGAAUAAGCACCGGCUAACUACGUGCCAGCAGCCGCGGUAAUUC
rnacentral:rRNA from 1 species